UACGUAGGUGGCAAGCGUUGUCCCGGAUUUGAUUGGGCGUAAAGCGCGCGCAGGCGGUCCUUUAAGUCUGAUGUGAAAUCUUGCGGCUCAACCGCAAGCGGUCAUUGGAAACUGGGGGACUUUGAGUACAGAAGAGGAAAGCGGAAUUCCACGUGUAGCGGUGAAAUGCGUAGAGAUGUGGAGGAACACCAGUGGCGAAGGCGGCUUUCUGGUCUGGUAACUGACGCUGAGGCGCGAAAGCGUGGGGAGCAAACAGG
rnacentral:rRNA from 1 species